UGAAAUAGUUCCUGAAACCAUAUGCCUACAAGUAGUCAGAGCUCGUUAAUGAGUGAUGGCGUGCCUUUUGUAGAAUGAACCGGCGAGUUACGUUAGCGUGCGAGGUUAAGGAGGAAAGUCCGGAGCCAUAGCGAAAGCGAGUCUGAAUAGGGCGAGAUAGUACGUUGACGUAGACCCGAAACCAGGUGACCUACCCAUGUCCAGGUUGAAGGUGCGGUAAAACGCACUGGAGGACCGAACCCGUGUAUGUUGAAA
rnacentral:rRNA from 1 species